rnacentral:rRNA from 1 species
CCUACGGGAGGCAGCAGUGGGGGAUAUUGCACAAUGGAGGGAACCCUGAUGCAGCGACGCCGCGUGGGUGAAGGAGCGUUUCGGCGCGUAAAGCCCUAUCGGCAGGGAAGAAGGAGGACGGUACCUGACUAAGAAGCCCCGGCGAACUACGUGCCAGCAGCCGCGGUAAUACGUAGGGGGCAAGCGUUAUCCGGAUUUACUGGGUGUAAAGGGGGCGCAGGCGGCAGUGCAAGUCAGGAGGGAAAGCCCGGGGCCCAACCCCGGGACUGCUCUUGGAACUGCGCGGCUGGAGUGCAGGAGGGGCAGGCGGAAUUCAUGGUGUAGCGGUGAAAUGCGUAGAUAUCAGGAGGAACACCGGUGGCGAAGGCGGGCGGCUGGACUGCGACUGACGUUGAGGCCCGAAAGUGUGGGGAGCAAACAGGAUUAGAUACCCCUGUAGUC